UUUAUACGCAGUUAAAUAUUUUUUUUCGCGGGAACUUUUUUUAGCAGUACAGUGCAAGCGGCCAAGAAAUUCGUUGAGAGAAGAUCGGUCGUCUAAGUGAUCGAUCUUGCCAUGAAUUCUACCCAUACUUGGGAAAGGUUUUAAUACAAUUCUGAAAGUAAUUAUUAGCGAGAGUGACCUUAAUUCUAACCGUUUUUCUCUGCCGAGCAAGUUGGAUUCGAGGUUGAAACUUCAAGCAACAAGUUGUUGGCUCGCGAAGCGAGCAUUCAAGGAUCAUUGUCUAUCGUUUUGAUCGUUCUAGGGGCUUCUAUCAGCGUUGCUCAUGGAUCGAAGCAAACCUGGAUUAGUUCGCACAAAGUCUCAAGACAACGAGGUUUGUGCUUCAUGUGAGUUGAGCUCGGAGGAUAAAGAGUUGUGCAAAGUGAUCGGAAGGAUCUUGGCAAGAAUUGGAGACAGAAUGAACUCUUCAGAGAUGCUAUCAAACGGGCAUAGCCUUCAAGCGAACUGUCGCAAUGGACAUCGUUUGAAUGAUGAUACGAGACCACAGCCAGGAGUAAAUAAACUUCCGUAAACACCGGAAAAAUUUUAUCGAUCAAUUACUUUUGAAAGUUGUAUUUCUACGCAAAAAUAAUUGUACAUAUUGUAUGCAGAUUCACUAUGUUAGAUGUACUGCUGAUACAUACAUGAGAGAAUCAUAUAGAACCGCUAGCUCUGUAAUUUGCGACGCCGACUUUGAUCGUUAGAGUAACUGUUUUAACGAAAAAACUCAAUCUUCGAGCAGGCUGUAAAUAUUUUUUUGACAAAAGCAGAACGAAAUAAAUAAAAUCAGCUGAUGAAUGGCAA